rnacentral:rRNA from 1 species
AUUGAACGCUGGCGGCAGGCCUAACACAUGCAAGUCGAACGAGUGGCGGACGGGUGAGUAAUGUCUGGGAAACUGCCUGAUGGAGGGGGAUAACUACUGGAAACGGUAGCUAAUACCGCAUACCAUCAGAUGUGCCCAGAUGGGAUUAGCUAGUUGGUGGGGUAACGGCUCACCAAGGCAACGAUCCCUAGCUGGUCUGAGAGGAUGACCAGCCACAGUGGAACUGAGACACGGUCAAUACUCCUACGGGAGGAAGCAGUGGGGAAGAUUGCACAAUGGGUGCAAGCCUGCUGCAGCAAUGCCGCGUGUAGGAAGAAGUCCUUCGGUUUGUAAAGUACUUUCAGCGGGGAGGCGUUACCCGCAGAAGAAGCACCGGCUAACUCCGUGCCAGCAGCCGCGGUAAUAC